rnacentral:rRNA from 1 species
GACGAACGCUGGCGGCGUGCUUAACACAUGCAAGUCGAGCGGUAAGGCCCUUUCGGGGGUACACGAGCGGCGAACGGGUGAGUAACACGUGGGUGACCUGCCCUCAGCUCUGGGAUAAGCCUGGGAAACUGGGUCUAAUACCGGAUAUGACUCCAUGACGCAUGUUGUGGGGUGGAAAGCCUUGCGCGGCUGAGGAUGGGCCCGCGGCCUAUCAGCUUGUUGGUGGGGUGAUGGCCUACCAAGGCGACGACGGGUAGCCGGCCUGAGAGGGCGACCGGCCACACUGGGACUGAGACACGGCCCAGACUCCUACGGGAGGCAGCAGUGGGGAAUCUUGCGCAAUGGGCGAAAGCCUGACGCAGCGACGCCGCGUGAGGGAUGACGGCCU